UACGACGGGUACGGGUUGUGAGAGCAAGAGCCCCGGUGAUGGAUUCUGAGACACGAAUCCAGGCCCUACGGGGUGCAGCAGGCGCGAAAACUUUACAAUGCGGGAAACCGUGAUAAGGGAAUCUCGAGUGCCAGCAUAUAAUGUUGGCUGUCCAGAUGCCUAAAAAGCAUCUGUUAGCAAGGNCCGGGCAAGACCGGUGCCAGCCGCCGCGGUAACACCGGCGGCCCGAGUGGUAACCGCUUUUAUUGGGUCUAAAGGGUCUGUAGCCCCCCAAGUAAGUCCCUUGGGAAAUCUGGCAGCUUAACUGUCAGGCUGCUAGGGGAUACUGCUAGGCUUGGGACCGGGAGAGGUGAGAGGUACCUUGGGGGUAGGGGUGAAAUCUUGUGAUCCUCGGGGGACCACCAGUGGCGAAGGCGUCUCACCAGAACGGGUCCGACGGUAAGGGACGAAAGCUAGGGGCACGAACCGGAUUAGAUACCCGGGUAGUCCUAGCCGUAAAAGAUGCUCGCUAGGUGUCAGUCACGGUGCGACCGUGAUUGGUGCCGUAGGGAAGCCGUGAAGCGAGCCACCUGGGGAGUAUGGCCGCAAGGCUGAAACUUAAAGGAAUUGGCGGGGGAGCACUACAACGGGUGGAGCCUGCGGUUUAAUUGGAUUCAACGCCGGG
rnacentral:rRNA from 1 species